AGUAACACGUGGGCAAUCUGCCCUGCACUUCGGGAUAAGCCUGGGAAACUGGGUCUAAUACCGGAUAGGACCUUUAGACGCAUGUCUUUUGGUGGAAAGCUUUUGCGGUGUGGGAUGGGCCCGCGGCCUAUCAGCUUGUUGGUGGGGUGAUGGCCUACCAAGGCGACGACGGGUAGCCGGCCUGAGAGGGUGUCCGGCCACACUGGGACUGAGAUACGGCCCAGACUCCUACGGGAGGCAGCAGUGGGGAAUAUUGCACAAUGGGCGCAAGCCUGAUGCAGCGACGCCGCGUGGGGGAUGACGGCCUUCGGGUUGUAAACCUCUUUCACCAUCGACGAAGGUCCGGGUUUUCUCGGAUUGACGGUAGGUGGAGAAGAAGCACCGGCCAACUACGUGCCAGCAGCCGCGGUAAUACGUAGGGUGCGAGCGUUGUCCGGAAUUACUGGGCGUAAAGAGCUCGUAGGUGGUUUGUCGCGUUGUUCGUGAAAUCUCACGGCUUAACUGUGAGCGUGCGGGCGAUACGGGCAGACUAGAGUACUGCAGGGGAGACUGGAAUUCCUGGUGUAGCGGUGGAAUGCGCAGAUAUCAGGAGGAACACCGGUGGCGAAGGCGGGUCUCUGGGCAGUAACUGACGCUGAGGAGCGAAAGCGUGGGGAGCGAACAGGAUUAGAUACCCUGGUAGUCCACGCCGUAAACGGUGGGUACUAGGUGUGGGUUUCCUUCCUUGGGAUCCGUGCCGUAGCUAACGCAUUAAGUACCCCGCCUGGGGGAGUACGGCCGCAAGGCUAAAACUCAAAGGAAUUGACGGGGGCCCGCACAA
rnacentral:rRNA from 1 species